AGAGCGAACGCUGGCGGCAGGCUUAACACAUGCAAGUCGAACGAUCCUUCGGGAUAGUGGCGGACGGGUGAGUAACACGUGGGAACGUGCCCUUUGGUUCGGAACAACACAGGGAAACUUGUGCUAAUACCGGAUGUGCCCUUCGGGGGAAAGAUUUAUCGCCAUUGGAGCGGCCCGCGUCUGAUUAGCUAGUUGGUGAGGUAAAGGCUCACCAAGGCGACGAUCAGUAGCUGGUCUGAGAGGAUGACCAGCCACAUUGGGACUGAGACACGGCCCAAACUCCUACGGGAGGCAGCAGUGGGGAAUAUUGGACAAUGGGCGCAAGCCUGAUCCAGCCAUGCCGCGUGAUUGAUGAAGGCCCUAGGGUUGUAAAGCUCUUUGUGCGGGAAGAUAAUGACGGUACCGCAAGAAUAAGCCCGGCUAACUUCGUGCCAGCAGCCGC
rnacentral:rRNA from 1 species